rnacentral:lncRNA from 10 species
AAAAAAUAGCACGAGUAAGUGUUUGGAGUGAUUUGCAAACAUCAUUGCUGUGCUUUGAAUGUUUGUAUCCUUUCCAAAAUUCAUGUUGAAACUUAAAUCCCCAGUGCAGCAGUGUUAAGAAGUGGGGCCUUUAGAAGGUGACUAGGCCGUGAGGGCUCCGCUCUUACGAAUGAGAUUAGUGCCUUUUUAAAGGGCUGGAGGGAACUAGCUGGGUCCUUUGUGCCCUUCUGAGCCUUCUGAACCUUUCGCCAUGGGGACACAGUAUUCAUUCCCUCUGGAGGAUGCAGCAACAAGGCAUCAUCCUGAAAGCAGAGACCUUGCCAGACAUGGAACUUGCCAGCACCUUGAUCUUGGACUUCCAGCCUACAGAAAUGUGAGAGUUGGUCGAAGCCACAGAUAUGGAACCCACAGAUACAAAGGGCUAACUGUACAGGAAUCUGCAAGGCCAUUUAGGAAGUUAUGGCAGAAGUCUCAGCAAGAAAAAAUGGAAGCUUGGAUGAAGGCACUACCAGAUUAAAUGGAAAGAAGUGAUAACAUCCAGAAAAUUUUAGACUACAAAAUCAAUGAGAAUUGAUCAGGCAAUCUAGAUAUCAGUAAGAAUCACUUUUCCCCUGACAUUUACAUAAAAUUGACAUCAUCUUUAUGCCAACCUGUAGAAGUCCAGUGCUCCUCCCAAGAUGUCUGCAAAUCCUAGGAGCCUGAAGCUGUCAGAACUGCCUCUCGUGUUCUAUUCCCCCUUAACUCUGAACUCCUCUCCCUCAUAUGUCAACUCCUAUAGUUUUUCUUAGUCCUUAACUUUGCCCUUACCUUCAAGGAAACAGAGCCCCAUUUUCUUGCUUUCUCCAAAACACCAACCCACUUGGCAUCUGUACAACUAACUGUUGGAGGCUAAGGAGGAUGUGAAGAGGGUGUAUAACAGAUUUAUGCAGUAUUUUUAAAGUGCAACAAAGCUACCCAUUUCAAAACGGAAUAACCUCUCCUUUGAAUAUCCUGCAGAUACCAGGAAUUUUUCAUUGUCAGGUAUUUCUCCCCAUAUCUCCUGUCUUCUAUGUAUUGUCUCUUACUUAUCUUUUUCCCAACCAUCCAUAUUGUCUUAUCCUCCCCAAAAGCCCUAUUUGCUUUCUCUUUGUCCACCUAAAUAUAUCCAGGUUAUCACUAGAUAGCUUCAAUUUCAAAACUAAACAUGCCAGUGAAGGUGGUUUUACAAAAAAGCCUCACUUUUCCUUGAGUGGAGUUCUGUGGCCAACUCUCAAACUAGUUUUGUUUUGUUUUGUUUUGUUUUGUUUUGUUUUGUUUUUUUCCUUGCUACCAUUAAAAAUGGAAGGAUUAAGGAUAGCAUCCUAAUUCUAGCACUUUCACAGCUGUAUGUAUGUGUGGUGCCGGGAGGUAAAUUAUGAUGCUGUUUCUUACAUUCGGGAGGAAAAAUCUAUUUGCCUCUGUCUCUAAAACAAUCUUGUUUUCUUGCAAACUGCAAAAAUUUGCAGUCAUUGCACCUAAAGUUCUCAAGUUUUCUUGGACUUUCCUUCCUUUUCCUUGGUGUCAAUCCUGUGUUUAAAUUUCAUUUCUCUUUUGACCUAGAGUGUGUGGCAUCUUAACACGGGUAUCUUGAGUUCAUAACAGGAAACUCUCCAAAGUUCACAGCCAAUAUGUCCUCGGUCACAUGCUACUCCUCCAAAAUUUCACCUAUACUCAGAAUUUGGCUUUUUCCAGGACUUGUAUAAAUUAAGACUUAUUGAACAGUAGCAGAAACACUCCUUUCUACUGUAUUUUUUCUGCAGCAGAUGGAUAUGUCUGUAUAUCCUCCAGAUCACCAUUUCUGUUUCCUCUUCUUAUAUUUCCAUCUCCUUUCAAGCAGAUCUUAGCUGAGCUUUAUAAAGUUCAACCUACUUCUUCAAUUAGAUCCCAUUUCUCUUCCAUUCGUAAGGCUGAGCUUUUACUGGAUAAGAAUGUCAUCAUUUCUUUUUCUUUCUUUUCCCUCAGUUUCUACUUUUACAGCAAAACAAGACUCUUUUUUUUUUUUUUUGGUAAUUCAGUUAAUGUCACUACUAAUGUUCUUAAUGUGCCUUUUCCAAUGCCUAAGUAGUACUCUCUUCACAUAUUGGAUAGACAAUGCUAGCGGCUGCAAGAGACAAGCCCUGGAAUCCCAGUGAAUUACCAAGACAAAAGAUCCCUGACUGCUCACAUCACAGCCAGGGUUUGGUUAAGUGGCCAGUGUCCAUCUUGUAGCAAUGCCAUCUGGACCACACAGCUUCCAAAUCACCAUGGCAGGAAAACAGAGAGCUAGAAAACUGCAUGGGAUGUCUUUAAGGACUAGGUAUGGAAGAUGUUUACAUAACUUCCUUCCACAUAUAUUAGCUACAAAUUAGUCACAUCAUCUCUAACUUCAAGGGAGUCUGAGAUGGAGGAAUGGACAAAUGCAGGUAUAGAUAGGAUGUAUGAUAAGUGCUAACGGUCUCUGCUACAUGUUCUCAAUUCUCCUUUUAU